rnacentral:misc_RNA from 1 species
GUUUAAUUUAAAUUUUUGCAUUAGCUUUCAUAAAUAAAGGUGUUUUUGCUCGACACUAACACAGAACGCAGAGGUGUUUAAAUGAGCAGAGAAAUCAAACGCAUUUAAGGUCUCAAGCUAAAUGGCGGCGGCAAUAUUAUGAGAACCCUCAUAGGACCACCACCACCAUUCGUUGCUCAAAACUCAAACACAUUCGUAGUACAUCCCCUCACACAACUACGACCAUGAAGCGUCAUGAGGAAUUGCGCGAAAACGCACAAUCCUAGCACACAGUUCACAAGGGUGAAUAAAUUGGAUUUAAUGAUGAUCCUUCCGCAGGUUCACCUACGGAAA